GUCACCGUAGCGCAGAGGUGAGCAUGUCAGCCUUUGACACUGAAUGCCUGGGUUCGAAUGCUGGCGGAGACA
rnacentral:tRNA from 1 species